rnacentral:rRNA from 1 species
CAGUAGCCGCGGGAAUACGUAGGUGGCAAGCGUUGUCCGGAAUUAUUGGGCGUAAAGCGUGCGCAGGCGGAUAGGUCAGUCUGUCUUAAAAGUUCGGGGCUUAACCCCGUGAUGGGAUGGAAACUGCCAAUCUAGAGUAUCGGAGAGGAAAGUGGAAUUCCUAGUGUAGCGGUGAAAUGCGUAGAUAUUAGGAAGAACACCAGUGGCGAAGGCGACUUUCUGGACGAAAACUGACGCUGAGGCGCGAAAGCCAGGGGAGCGAACGGGAUUAGAUACCCCAGUAGUCCCUGUCUCUUAUACA